AGUCGAGCGAACGGACGAGAAGCUUGCUUCUCUGAUGUUAGCGGCGGACGGGUGAGUAACACGUGGAUAACCUACCUAUAAGACUGGGAUAACUUCGGGAAACCGGAGCUAAUACCGGAUAAUAUUUUGAACCGCAUGGUUCAAAAGUGAAAGACGGUCUUGCUGUCACUUAUAGAUGGAUCCGCGCUGCAUUAGCUAGUUGGUAAGGUAACGGCUUACCAAGGCAACGAUGCAUAGCCGACCUGAGAGGGUGAUCGGCCACACUGGAACUGA
rnacentral:rRNA from 1 species